CUGAGACUGGCACUAAAGACCUAAGGCUUUACAGGUGGAGCUAACAUCAUGCACUUUUGUGUUGCCAAGGUUAGGUCGGUGUGAAAGGCAUUCAUAUAAGUGGGUGACAAGGAUUAAAGGAACAGUUCAGCGCCAUAACCACUACACCCUAGGAGUGCCCUCACAGGGUUAAUAGUCCAAUGCCCUACCAGGGUAAGUAGUCAAACCAUUUGAGAAUGUUUUCACAAUAUACUUGGG